GCAGUCGAACGAUGAAAGCUUCUUCGGAAGUAUAUGAAGUGGCGUAAGGGCGAGGAAUAUAUUUCUAUGUACCCCAAAGUCAAGGAUAGCCCAGGGAAACUUGGUGUAAUACUUGAUGUGGUCUCCGGAUCAAAGAUUUAUCGCUUUGGGAGCAGGGAAUAUCCUAUCAGGUAGUUGGUGAGGUAACGGCUCACCAAGCCAAAGACGGGUAGCGGGUGUGAGAGCAUGACCCGCCGCAUCGGAACUGAGACACUGUCCGGACUCCUACGGGAGGCUGCAGUAACGAAUAUUCCGCAAUGAGCGAAAGCUUGACGGAGCAAUGCCGCGUGUAGGAUGAAUCUCCUUGGAGUGUAAACUACUGUCAGAGACUAGGAACUCAAUGACCAAUCUCAAAGGAAGGGCCGGCUAACUUCGUGCCAGCAGCCGCGGUAAUACGAAGGGCCCGAGCGUUAUUCGGAAUCACUGGGCUUAAAGCGUGCGUAGGCGGACUUGUAGGCGUUUUGUGAAAUCCCUCGGCUCAACCGAGGAACUGCAGAGCGAACCCCAAGCCUUGAGACAGAUAGAGGUUGUCGGAACGAUUGGUGGAGUGGUGAAAUGCGUUGAUAUCAAUCGGAACGCCAAAUGAGAAGUCAGGCAACUGGAUCUGUUCUGACGCUGAGGCACGAAAGCGUGGGUAGCGAACGGGAUUAGAUACCCCGGUAGUCCACGCCG
rnacentral:rRNA from 1 species